rnacentral:rRNA from 1 species
GACGAACGCUGGCGGCGUGCUUAACACAUGCAAGUCGAACGGAAAGGCCCUGCUUUUGUGGGGUGCUCGAGUGGCGAACGGGUGAGUAACACGUGAGUAACCUGCCCUUGACUUUGGGAUAACUUCAGGAAACUGGGGCUAAUACCGGAUAGGAGCUCCUGCUGCAUGGUGGGGGUUGGAAAGUUUCGGCGGUUGGGGAUGGACUCGCGGCUUAUCAGCUUGUUGGUGGGGUAGUGGCUUACCAAGGCUUUGACGGGUAGCCGGCCCGAGAGGGUGACCGGCCACAUUGGGACUGAGAGACGGCCCAGACGCCUACGGGAGGCAGCAGUGGGGAAUAUUGCACAAUGGGCGGAAGCCUGAUGCAGCAACGCCGCGUGCGGGAUGACGGCCUGCGGGUUGUAAACCGCUUUCGCCUGUGACGAAGCGUGAGUGACGGUAAUGGGUAAAGAAGCACCGGCUAACUACGUG